rnacentral:rRNA from 1 species
CCUACGGGAGGCUGCAGUGGGGAAUAUUGCACAAUGGGGGAAACCCUGAUGCAGCAACGCCGCGUGAGUGAGGAAGUAUUUCGGUAUGUAAAGCUCUAUCAGCAGGGAAUAGAAAAGAAGGUCCCUGAGUAAGUAGCCCCGGCUAACUACGUGCCAGCAGCCGCGGUAAUACGUAGGGGGCAAGCGUUAUCCGGAUUUACUGGGUGUAAAGGGAGCGUAGACGGUAGUGCAAGUCUGGAGUGAAAGGCGGGGGCUCAACCCCCGGACUGCUCUGGAAACUGUACGGCUGGAGUGCAGGAGAGGUAAGUGGAAUUCGUAGUGUAGCGGUGAAAUGCGUAGAUAUUAGGAGGAACACCAGUGGCGAAGGCGGCUUACUGGACUGUAACUGACGUUGAGGCUCGAAAGCGUGGGGAGCAAACAGGAUUAGAUACCCUUGUAGUC